CGUAGGGGGCAAGCGUUGUCCGGAUUCAUUGGGCGUAAAGAGCGUGUAGGCGGCCAGGUAGGUCGGUUGUGAAAACUGGAGGCUCAACCUUCAGACGUCGACCGAAACCCCCUGGCUAGAGUCCGGGAGAGGAGAGUGGAAUUCCUGGUGUAGCGGUGGAAUGCGCAGAUAUCAGGAAGAACACCCGUGGCGAAAGCGGCUCUCUGGAACGGUACUGACGCUGAGACGCGAAAGCGUGGGGAGCGAACAGGAUUAGAUACCCUGGUAGUCCACGCCGUAAACGAUGGGCGCUAGGUGUGGGAGGUGUCGACUCCUUCCGUGCCGAAGCUAACGCAUUAAGCGCCCCGCCUGGGGAGUACGGCCGCAAGGCUA
rnacentral:rRNA from 1 species